CCUACGGGAGGCAGCAGUAGGGAAUAUUGCUCAAUGGGGGAAACCCUGAAGCAGCAACGCCGCGUGGAGGAUGACGGUUUUAGGAUUUUUAACCUCUUUUGUUAGAGAAGUUUAUGACGUUAUCUAACGAAUAAUCACUGGCCAAUGUCGUUCCAGCAGCCGCGGUAAUACGGAGGGUGCAAGCGUUAUUCGGAUUCACUGGGCGUUAAGAGUGCGUAGGCGGGGUAAUAAGUCAGAUGUGAAAGUCUCUAGCUUAACUACAGAACUGCAUUUGAAACUGUUACUUUGGAGUGUGGGGGAGGUAGGUGGAAUUCGUGGUGUAGGGGUGAAAUGCGUAGAGAUGAAGAAGAAUACUGAUUGCGAAGGCGGCCUGCUGGAGCGUUACUGACGCUGAUGCACGAAAGCGUGGGGAGCAAACAGGAUUAGAUACCCUAGUAGUC
rnacentral:rRNA from 1 species